AGAGGCUUGGUGAACUUAAAUUUGUUAGUGUGUGUGUCUGUCAGUCUGCGUCAAAUCAGUGAGUUCAUGUCUGUGAGUGUGUCUGGUUAGGUGACCAGCCCACCCGCAAUCACAUAGGAAAGGUGUUUUUACUCACCUUUUGUGCCACGCCUUGCUUCUGUGGCUGAGAUAAUCUUGAUCUCAGCCAAUCCAGUGCUUUUCCCAUCUCAUUGAAUCAGUGCAUCUUUAUG